UACAGAGGUCCCAAGCGUUGUUCGGAUUCACUGGGCGUAAAGGGUGCGUAGGCGGUCGGGUAAGUCUGAUGUGAAAUCUCACAGCUUAACUGUGAAACUGCAUUGGAUACUAUCCGGCUUGAGGAAUGGAGGGGAGACUGGAAUACUUGGUGUAGCAGUGAAAUGCGUAGAUAUCAAGUGGAACACCAGUGGCGAAGGCGAGUCUCUGGACAUUUACUGACGCUGAGACGCGAAAGCGUGGGGAGCAAACAGG
rnacentral:rRNA from 1 species